rnacentral:lncRNA from 1 species
AUAUAUUUUAUCAAUUUGGUCAGUCUAAUUAAUUUAAUUUAUUAAAUUGAUUUUGAUCUUACUUUUAAAUUUUUUUAUUUUAGUUGAUUUUUUUUAAUUUUAGUUCCUUACAAAUUGAAUUUUUGAGGAAACAAAGAGAGAGAGAAAAAGGAAAGAAAGAGCGAAUAAAAAUUUUGAUAAUAUAGUAUAGGUAAAAUUACUAAAUUAUUUAUAUAUUAAAAGAUAAAAAUUUUCUUUUUUGAAAUAUCUGGUAAUUGGUACCUCAUCCAAAAUGACCUACUAUUGCAGGUCAUAAUUUUAAAAGAAUUAAAUCUGAGUCAUUAAAGAGGAGUAAUGAAAGGUAUCGAAAAAUAACAAGUAUAAAAGCACUGCUCUAAAAAUAAUUGGCAAAUUAAGGGUCAAAAUAUGACCCUUGGAUAAAAAGAUGUAAGUUUUUUUU